rnacentral:misc_RNA from 1 species
UUACCACCGGGUCCCAGGAU